rnacentral:rRNA from 1 species
ACGGGUGAGUAACACGUGGUCAACCUUCCCUAGUGUGGGGGAUAACUAGCCGAAAGGUUAGCUAAUACCGCAUAACAUCUACGAGUGGCAUCAUUUGUAGAUCAAAGGAGCAAUCCGCACAAGGACGGGACCGCGUCCCAUUAGUUAGUUGGUGGGGUAACGGCCUACCAAGACUCCGAUGGGUAGCUGGUUUGAGAGAGCGACCAGCCACACUGGGACUGAGAAACGGCCCAG